rnacentral:rRNA from 1 species
GGUCCUACGGGAGGCAGCAGUAGGGAAUCUCGGCAAUGCAGCAAUUGGGAAUGAGCACAACCGCGGGAAUCAUGAUGCCCGCACGCGCUCGCUAAGAGUGAUGAUGGGCAGCUGAGCGAACCGUCAGGUCUAUAACGGGAGCGCAGACAGGCGCGCCGAGUAAUAUGGGAGGCACGACCCCCCCGGGCCC